CUCCGUAAACCACUAUUCACGGAAAGCUUCGUAAAAUAGUUUUUCUCUUUUUCCUGUCCAUUUAAUUAGCUUCACGUGAAAUACAUCAUGACCCAUCUGUCCAAACCACCUGAUUAAUUUCCAUUCACAUCGGUCCCCAGCACUUGCUCUCCUUAGGUCUAUAAAUAGGCAUCGAAAUUGUACUUAAAAUGUCAUCCAUACAUCUUCAUCUAAUUUGAAAGAGUAGUCAGUCAUCUAGUAAUGGGUUCCAAAACAAUAGUCUUCCUAGGCCUUUUGGCUACUGUUCUUCUGGUUACCUCGGAGGUUGCAGCAAGGGGUUUGGCUGAGACUUCCAAGAAAACUACUACAGCUGCUAAACAGACAAAGGGAGUGGAGGAAGCCAAGUAUGCAGGCGGAAAUCAGUAUGGAGUCCCGACGUACGGAGGAGUCCCCCCGAGAAUGCCGACGUACGGAGGAGUCCCCCCGAGAAUGCCGACGUACGGAGGAGCCCCAGGAAUCCCGACGUACGGAGGAGUCCCCCCGAGAAUGCCGACGUACGGAGGAGCCCCAGGAGUCCCGACGUACGGAGGAGUCCCCCCGAGAAUGCCGACGUACGGAGGAGUCCCGGGAGUCCCGAUGUCCGGAGGAGUCCCAUGAGGAAGGGGUCGACGUACGUGUGGUUGUUAUGGAGGGUGUCGAUAUUACUAUACGUUCGAAGCCACUGUCUCACAAGUGAUCUUUGUGCAAUGUUUGCGUGCGUGUCGCAAGUAUAUGAAAUAAAAAGCAUGAGUGGGCGUGAUCUAAUCAUGCCCGGCCCGUGGGUUUAUAUAUAAAAACGUUAACAAUUUCUCCUAUGGGAAAAUGCUGCUGUUUUUUGUUGUUUCGACGGUCAAAGGUAUAUGUGUAUCUGCUGUGGGUGUUCGUGUAUUUGGUUUUCAGCUGGUUGUAAAAAAUGACAUAAAUAUAUUGGUAUUACUCCA